UAAAACAAGUUAAAAAAAAUUAAAAGUACUACUGAUUGAGAGUCGCUCGAGAGUUGGAAGCCAUGGAUGAGAUGCCAGAUUUGUCGCAUUUGACGCCGCACGAGCGCAUGCAGAUUGAGAAUGUGCUGAUGCGGCAGAAACAGGAGGAGGAGAAACAGAAUGAGAUAAUGCGUCGCAAACAGGACGAGGUUGUGUCGCUGGAAAUGCAAAUCAGGCAACGCUCGGAGCAGCAGAAGAAGGCCGGCGUCGAACUGGAUGCCACUUGUCACAUUUGCCUUAAGACCAAAUUUGCGGAUGGUGUUGGCCACAUUUGCCAUUAUUGCAACAUACGCUGCUGCGCUCGCUGCGGUGGCAAGGUGACGUUGCGCAGCAACAAGGUGAUAUGGGUGUGUAUACUAUGCAGAAAGAAGCAGGAGCUGCUAUCCAAGACAGGACAGUGGAUCAACAAGUCGAGUCAGCAGGAUGGCUUCAUCCGACGCAUUGAGCCAGAUGGCAGCAGCGAUAUUUCUCAGCAAGCCAUUGUGGACACUGGCGAUAAGCGGCCCAAGCUUGAGCGCACACGCAGCGCUGCUGAGAAGGAAAAUCUGCCCAUGCAGCAUUCGGGCAGCAUGUUGCGUCGCCAAUACUCGCAACAGGAGCAGCCAACAAAUAGACGCUUGUCUGCCUCAGAUAGCGGCAUGGAUGCCAUGAGUCCUGGACAGCAGCAGCCGCAACGUUCACGCAUGCAGCCAAUGAAUCCACAGCAGGCGCAGCAAUAUCAGCAGCAGCAGCAACAACAGCAGCAGCAGCAGCAACAGCGCUCGGGCAACUAUCCUGAGGAUGAUCCGCGCUAUUAUCAGGGCGAACUGGACGGUCUAAUGCGUCAACAUCCACAUUUAGCGCAUCCCAGUCAAGUGCAGCAUCCACAUCAGCAACAGCAGCAGCAGUCACAGCAGCAGCAACAUCAAUACGCGCAGCAGCAGCAGCAGCAACGACAACAGCCGCCGCCAACACAGCAGCAGCAACAAUACGCUGCACGCCAGCAACAGCAGCAGCGCCUGCAGCAACAACAACAACGAUUGCCACAGCAGCCUUAUGCCAAUACACAAGCAACACAUGCGCAAGUGCAUCAGCAGCCACAGGAGCAGCUGCAGUCGCCGCAACAACAACAGCAACAUCAGUCUGCCUAUCAAAAGCCGCCGCCGCUGACGCGUAAUCUGACGAUCAGCGGUGGUCAUGCCAUGGAUGCAACUUCCUACAAUCAGCAGCAGCAGCAGCAACAACAGCGACGCGCUUUGGCUGGCGCGCAGUACGCGUCGCAGCAGCAGCGCAGCUUUAGCAGCUCCGAGGAGGAAUUUCAGCAGCAGCUGCUGGCAGCGCAAAUGAAUGCAGGCGGACCCUCCACUUUAAGCGCUGGUGCGGAUUACGACGGCGGGCGUCUACAGGUGCGCACGGAUCCUUGGCGCCAGCAGCGCAGUCUGAACGAACGCGAUCUGUUGAGCGUGGGCGGCUCAUACGGCGGCGGCAGCAGCAGUGAGUAUCGCCUGCUGGGCAAUCAGCGGCUGUACGCAUCGGCGGAUCAGCGAGAUCGCUACGAGCUGCAGCAUCGCGAGCGCCUGGAGCAGUAUCCAUUGACCAGAACCGCGCGCCUGGACGUGCAGCAGCGCAACUCGUUGAAUCGCAGCAAUCACGAGCGACAAUUUGCAAGUGGCGCCGGAGUGGCUGCCUCAAGUGUGGGCGUGGGCGUGGGUGUUGCUGGUGGCGCCUACCGUCGUGCGCCGCCUUUGGCCGCGGCCGGCGGCUGCGGUGGCAGCAGCAGCAGCAGCACCACCAGCAGCAGCUACUAUCCACAAAGCCAAAGCAAGCCGCAGAUUGUAAUUGGCGCCAGUCCAAGUGCAGCGACUGCCUAUGAGCGUGGCGCCAUGUCCGCUGAAGCUGCCAGAAGCGCGCUGAGUCGUGAGCGUGGUUUGCUCGGAGCGCACAGUGCUCACAGUGGCGGUGGCGGCAGCAGCUCGCUCAGCUCCACAGAGGCUGCCUACUGGGAUGAGCCCACGGCGGGCAGCACUUCCAGCUCAUCGGCGGCGCAGGACUCGCGUCGCUUUACCGAGCGCAGAAUAAAGAAAACCGUACGCUUCGAUGCGCACGAUGAUGAGACGACGCUGCUGACGCCACUGCCACCAGUUACGACCAUAUUGCCAUCCACAGCGGUGGAUGUGGGCACAGCCACAUUGCUGACCAGCGCCAAGUUGGCGCAGCCGCAGGAUGGCGACUGGCAGCGUUGGGAGGCGGAGCGUCAGGGCAGUCAGGACUCGGUGACCAAGGAUUCGGGCAUUGAUACGAGCAGCACGUUUACCAGCAGCGAGGACUCGAAUCGCGGCGAUGGGCCAAAGAAUCCGGUGAAUUGGCAAACAACCGCGGAUAAUACGCGCAUGAUUGGUCACAUGAUUUUACGUAAAUACUAUGAUGGUGAAGAUAUAUUAGGCUUAAAGGUUAAUGGUGGACAGCCCGUUGGAUUGGGCCAUGCGGCACCAUGUGGUGCCAUUGUGGAGAAGGUGAAACGCGGUUCGGUGGCGGAUCUGGAGGGCUGCAUACGACCAGGCGACGAAAUCAUCGAAUGGAACGGACGCAGUUUGCAUAACAAAAACGCCGAUGAAGUUUACGAUAUUAUCGAUGAAAGUCGUUUGGAUGCUCAGGUGGAACUUUUGGUCUGUCGUUCACUUCUAUUGCCUGCUCAUGCGCCUAGUGAUAGCGGCGGCAGCAGCAGCAAUGUUAGUCCCAGCAGCAAUUGCUCCGGUUCUGUAAGCAGCAGCACCACACGUCGCAGCUCCGCCAACUUUCCACAUAGCGGUUUGGCAAGCAGCAUGGCCAGCAGCGCAGUCGUGAGCAGCGGUGGGCGCUAUACGCAGCGCAAAGCUAAUCACGCUGAGGAGCAGCAGCGCGAAAAGCCAAGCGUCUUAAUUACCUCACCCGGCUCGCCGGAGCUACAAAUUGGCGGCUCGGCUGCACUGCGUCAUCGUGGCAGUCCACAGUCUCAGUCGCAGCAGCGCUUGGCAGCAAAUCAUAGCAGUCAUAGUCAUAGCAGUGGCAGCGGCAGCGGCAGCGCCAGCGGCAGCAGCAGCAAUAGCAGCACCACACUACAAGCGGCAACUAACUCAAGUGCGAACGCCACUGGCGGCGCGCACGGCACAACGACGGCGGGUCCUUAUCAUCACUGCCAGACGGCAGCGACAGCGCAUUCGCACGGACACCAUCAGCAUCAGCAUCAGCAUGGGCAUGGGCAUGUGCCGCAUCAUGACAUGGGCGUAACCACACAGCCCAUACCCAUUGAGGGUAGACUGCAACUGAAGCUGGGCUAUGAUCAGCAUACGCUGCAGCUUAUAGUGACGCUAGUGUGCGCCACUGGACUGUCGCUGCGUCAAACUGGCGCUGGACGCAAUCCAUAUGCCAAGGUAUUUCUAUUGCCGGAUCGCAGCCACAAGUCCAAGCGACGCACAAAGACUGUGGGCACCACCUGCGAGCCACGUUGGGCGCAAACUUUUGUCUAUUCCGGACUACGACGCUGUGAUUUCAAUGGACGACUGCUGGAGGUAACGCUGUGGGACUAUGUGCGCUAUGGCGCCAACGAUUUCAUAGGCGAAGUCGUCAUCGACUUGGCGCAUCAUGUGCUCGACGAUGAAGCCGAAUGGUAUCAACUGCAGCCGCAUCAGGAUACUUCACAUCUCUUACGUGACGAGGGCAGCGAUGUGGACGGCCUGAUACUGACACCGACAGAUCAUUUAUCACCGCCCAGCACAAUGUCGCGUCUCAGCGACUCGGAUACAACAUCCGAGUGUGACAUCGAUGGAAUGACGCCCGGUGCUAGCAUCUCAUCCAUGGGCAGCUCAGCCAGUCCACCGCCGCUGCUUGAGGCUUCGGCCACAGGCUAUUAUAGACGCACUGGUGGCGGCGGCGGUACUAAUGGUGUCGGCGCCAUUGGACCGGGUGGCAUGAGCUUGAGUCAGCGCAGUCAUUCGGCAGCUCCCAGUGAUAGUUACGGCGGCAGCGCUGCUCCGGCGGGCAGCGGCGUACACAGCUCUCUAGGUUACGGCUAUCGAAGCAGCAGUCCAAGACGUGGCUCUCUAUCGCCACCGGACGAUCGUUAUAUAGACUAUCCAGUGCUUCCAUUUCACGGCUCUAGCAACGCCGCAGCAUAUCCAGGUGUCGCAUCCUCAGCAGCAGCCGCAGCUGCAGCAGCGACGCAACAGCAUCGUUUUCAGUCGCGCUCAGCGACGGCGACGCCAACGGGUUCACCCAAAAAGCGACAACUGCCACAGGUGCCACAAACCUCACGUAGCGCCAUGUUGCGCGAUCGUUUGGGUCAGGACUUUGAUGAGCGUUUAGCCUCGGGUGGACGCUUUGGUCGGCAUCGCACAAGACAGCCGCAUCAUCAGGCCACAUAUCGCAGCACGGGCAUGGGCGGCUGGGAGCGUCACUAUACAGGACUCUCGGACAGCGAUCUGCAGACUAUGGACACGCGCAUGCGUCCGCGUCAUUCGCUUUCACCCGAUAAGGAUUUCAUGGGCGAGUUUGGUGACUCGGAUAUGGAGUCAGUGGUUAGCGUCACUUCAAGCGCCUUUAGCACGCAAUCCGAACGACCACGCACCUCACGCGGACUCAGCUUUCCACGCAACUGGCGCAAUUUAUUUGGCGUACAAAACAGUUUGCUGGGCGGCGCCAGCAUGUCCGUUGCUGGUGGUGGUGGUGGCCCCAUAACCGGUCUGAAGCUCUAUGAACACCAACGCCAGCCACCACAUCGUGCCAAUACCAUUGAGGUGGAUGAUUGCGAUUAUCUGUCUGCUGCUGGCGGCACCCAGCAACUGUUGCUGCUGGAGCAGCUUGAGCAGUUGCAGCAGCUGGCGGCAUUGGCAGCCGCCGACUCGCCGCCGCCGCCACCAAUCCAACAACCCAAUCUGCUGUUGGUGCCACCGCAGCGUGUGCUGGUCACAGACACCAACAGCGGCGAACUGGUGGAGCAAUUUUAUGUGGAGCCAGCCCUAAUGGCGGAGGAGACAGUUGAUCAUGCUCAUUACUAUACAACGACUCAUUUGCCUAAUGCCACUGCCAAUACAAACUACAUACAGCCAACGCCGCUUGACAUUUACCAACAACAACAACGACAACGUCACAACGGACGCGAACUCUCCCCCGCCCUCGCCACCACCACCAACACCAAUCAUCAUACGCUGUCGCCUACGCUGUCCAGCUUUGAGCAAUUCAAGCGUAUUACCACGCCGGUCAUGAAUCUCUUUCGCAGCUCCUCCACCAACAACAACAACAAUCCCCAUGAGCUAGCGCAUGCCCAUGCCCACGCCCACACGGUCAGCUCCUCGCCCAGCUCCUACGUCGGCUAUGUGCGUGAUCAUCUGGACAAGAGCUGCAGCCACUGCCAGAACGGCAGCCAGCCUGUUGUGCUCUCCACCAACACCGCCCUGGCCACACCCGGCCUGGCCAUUGGCGCCUGUGCCGAUCCCUGCUGCCUGGCCGAUGCCCAUCCGCAUCCACAGCACCAGCCCAUGACCUUUCCCUACAGCGCCGAGCAGCUGCUGCGUCGCCCCUCGCUGUCCAUGUACCAGCCCAGCUCGGAGCCCUCACUGCCCACCAUGGACACUGCCAUGUGCGGCGAGUGCGUUGAUCAGCACUUUCUGGGCGCGCACACGGGUCCACAGAUGAAUCUGGGCAUAGUGCCCACCUAUCAUGUGCAUACGCCCACGCCCACAGCUCACAGACGCAAUCGCGGGCAACUAGCGCCGCCUCCAGCGCUGCCCACGCAAUCGGUGCUGCGUCUAUCGCGUCAGCUGAGCGAGGAUGCGCUCGUCUCCGCUGUACCCAUAGCUGAGGCCACUGCCAAGGCGCAGCCUACAUCGAUACUGAAGAAGCCCAAGCUGGAGCGGCGACGUCUGUUCCAUGAGGGUCAGUCACGCUCGCUGGACUACGAUGAUUUGCAUACCAAGAGCUGGGGACGCCGACGCAUACGCUAUGAGGAUGAAGUGGCGCCCGCUCCAUACUAUGAGCAGUCGCAGAGCUACAACAAUGCGGAGCAGCUGGAGCGUCGCUACGGUUCGGAGACAAACAUUAGACAGUCGUAUAUGGGCGCCAAUGUGGAUGCAGCCAAUCCGUUGAGUCACUCGCAUUUUCUGGUUACGGACGACAAGAUCGUAACCAUAACCUAUGACUCGGAUGUGGGCUGGACGCGUCGCGGCGUGGCGCCCUCGCUGUUUCGUGGCGCUCAUCGACGUGGAUUGGAUGCACGCAAUCAUAUGUCGCUGGAUCUGCAGCGCACCAGUCAGCAGAAGAUGUACGGACCGGCGGCGCCGUAUUUGAAGCGCAGGCGCAACUUGCCGCAUCCGCCAAGUGCACAAAAUGCGCACAACUUUUCGCCCAUGGAGUUGGCUGCUGCUGCUGGUGUUGGUGAUGGCGUUGGCGUCGGUCUGGGGGUUGGGGGCGUUCCACUAACGAACGGUUUACACCAACAACAACAACAAGUUCACCAACAACAACAACAGAACACCCACAAUUCCCAACACAACAGCCAAGCAGCGAGUAGUGUUAGUAUUAGUCAUAGUCACAACAACAACUACAACAACAACAACAACCAACAACAACUACAACAACAACAAUCAGCUAGGCAAAAAGGGAAAGAAGGCAUCAACGCCGUCAACGGUUUGAUGGCAACGGCAUCGGCAUUGGAACAUGUGACGAAAUCUAGUAGUGGGAGCGGCGGUGCAUUCACAUCUGCUGCCGCUGCUGGUAAUAUCGUCGUCGAUGGUAAUAAUGCUAAUAAUGCUUCUUCUUCCUCUUUUGCAAAUCCCCCACAACAACAUCACCAUGGUGUCGCUAAUCAACCAAUAACAACAACAAAUGCAUCACCCAAUAAACGUGCCCCAUCAUCAAUACACAACAAUGACGUCAACAACACCACCAACUUGACCCAUGACGCAACAACAACUAAACACUCGACACCACAACAACAACAAACACCAAGCACAAAUUUCAUUGAAAAUACAACAACAAUAACUACAACAACAACAACAAACACAUCAACGAAUGCGGCUGCAACAAUAAUAACGACUGCAACAACAACAACGACAACGGCAACGACUGCUACAACAACUGCCACAAAACCAACAACAAACAAUGAACCAAACGCAACAACAACAAAUGCUGAUGCGGAUGCCGAUGCGGACGCACCACUUGAUGUUAUCGAUUGGGAUGCUAUCGAUGCUAUGUUGGAUGAUGAUUUCAGCGAGUAUGAUAAGGAGAAGAACGGUGCUAACGAAGCGGGAGAUGCCAAAGCAGGCGAAGCUGGCGCUGGAACUGAGGAUAAAGUCGAUGGCAGCUUAUCCGAUACCACAACCGAUCGCAAAAAAGGCGGCACUGUGGAAACGGAACGCUCACCAAAGAGCGGCAGCGGCAUGGGCAAGAAAUCCAACUCCACCUCACAGCUCUCAGCAACUGACCAAUAUCAGGCAAUUUAUUCAGGCAACGCGAGCGCCACGUCGGCUAGCUCCUCCUCCACUAGUCACCAUCUAAUCACACUACCACCACCACAUCCAUAUUAUCAGCGGCAGUCGCGUGGCUCGGCUGGCAGCAUACAGAGAUCAGUUGAGGUGCCGCCGGUGCCAGCGGUAACUCGCUACAGUGCGGGCAGCAUACAUUCAAUCUCUAGCUCCGAGGGUUCAUCGUUUUCACCCUCGCUGCGUAACGAUGGUGCAUUGAAUGAGUUUGUAGAUGGACUGGGCCCGGGACAGCUAGUGGGACGUCAAGUGUUGGGUGCUCCUUCCUUGGGUGAUAUUCAGUUGUCGUUGUGUCAUCAAAAGGGAUUUCUGGAGGUGGAAGUUAUACGCGCACGUGGCUUGCAGCAAAAGCCUUCGUCGAAAAUGUUACCUGCGCCAUAUGUCAAAGUGUAUUUGGUGUCGGGCAAGCGUUGCAUUGAUAAAAUGAAAACCUCAACAGCGCGUCGUACGCUGGAUCCUUUAUAUCAACAGCAAUUGGUAUUUAAGCAGCCUUAUAGCGGUUGCGUACUGCAGGUCACCGUUUGGGGCGACUAUGGGCGCAUUGAAAAGAAAGUGUUUAUGGGCGUGGCGCAAAUAAUGCUCGACGAUUUGAAUCUAUCGAAUAUCGUUAUCGGCUGGUACAAGCUCUUUGGCACCACCUCACUGGUCAGUUGUCCCACUAAUAUAGGCUUAGGCUCUAGGCGCUCAUCAAUAGCCUCACUCGACUCACUCAAACUCUAAACUAAACUUCAAAACUACUACUACAAACUUUCAAACUCAAACUUAAAUUUAACAACUCAGCUUUAUGCAUAGGACUUGCAAAUCAAACACACACACUAAUACACACACACACACAGACACACACACUGUAGUGUACACUUGUGUAUAUACAUUUUGUUUAAAAGUUUAUUCAGUAAUAACUUGUAUAACGUACUAAACAAAAAAAAACAACUGUAGUUACUUUCAUUGAGUUACAAAGUUAAAAGAGCACAACUGUAAAUGGAAACGCUUGUUAAUUCACACGCAUACACACACACAUACAUAUAAACAAACGAUCGAUCAGCAAACAAACUAAAACUUGAAAUCAACAAACACCAAACAAAUUAUAAAAAAUUAUAAAAAUCAAAAAAAAAAAUCACCGUUAAUCGUUACGUUAUGUACAACAACUUCAACGUAGUUUUUACUAGAACUCGUACAAAAUACUCAUAUAGUAACCCUUACCCAGAGCUGCCAGCCAGGCGGCUAAAUAGCAAAGGACCAUGGUCAGCACGCAGGAUACGCUGAUUGGAGCUGGCGCUUAAGUUGAGGCAGCUGCGCUCGCUGUCGUUUGUCAUUUUGGAUUGCGCUGCUGACCUAAUCUAUGUCCAAUACAUAUAUAUACAUAAUAUAUUUAUUUAUUUACAUAUGUAUAUUUUUUUUUUUUGUGACUAUGAGCGGAAAAUUUCCAUAAAAAAUAAGUAUCUAGUUAUAUUUGAUAAGUCAUGAAAACAAAUGCAUUUAAAAUCAAGAGUCAGUUGCAAUAAUAAUGCAAAUACAACUUUAUAACAAGCUUCAAGUUUCAUCACACACACACACACACACACACAAUCGAUCGUUCACAAAUUGUAAAUUUGAUUAACAAAUUUUGAUGACACACUAUUAUUUUCGUAAUACGAUUAUUAUAUAUUAACUGAACAUUUAUUAAGUAAUUAACUUAACUAUUGAGAUAAAUUGAUAGAUAAAAAAUGAAAAUGAAGCUGCGGAUUAAUGUGCUAGCGAACAUUACAAACAUACAUACAAUAUUAUAUGCAUUAAAAACUAAAUGAAUUAAGUUAGACAGUUUGAUAAGCAUGAUAAGAAUGAAAACUUUGUUAAAUAGCUAAAUUAUAUAUAUAUAUAUAUAUAUGAAACAACCAAAGAAGGAGGAACAAAUUAACAAUGCAAAAGGCGAAAUGUUUAUGAUUAUAUAUAUUAUAUAUAAUAUACGUAUGUAUAUUUAUGUUUAAGCAAGCAAAGACCACUUACACUUAAUGAAAGCCUAAACUAUAAUUAAAUGAAAAAAACAAAAACGCAAACUUUAACUUAAAGAUACAUAUAAUAUAUGAGCAUAUAGUAUAUAUACUAAAUACACAAAGUUUUGAGGCAAACUUAAUUAAGUUUCAAACAGAUUUAUAAAUACACAAAUUUGCUCUUAAGCUGUAUAUAGCACUUACACAGUUACCAAAACCAAAAACCUUUUGUUAAACUUGAUAACAAGUUCAUGUUAUGUAUGCAUAUAUAUAUUUAUAUUUAUUUACGCACGCUGCGCAGCGCAACAAAAACAUUUGCAGUCACCCCAAAAUGCAAAUGUUUUUGUUUUGUUUAGCGCCCAAGCAUUUUAUAGAGAGUUGGCAUUGCAUUGUCUCGCUACUGAAUACAAAAAAAAAACACAAAAAAAUACAUACAUACAUAUAUUUAUACGCAUAUUUUUGCCUACAUCAGCUAAAGAAUAAUCACAAAAAGCAUCAAAGUACCUACAAGUUAAUAGUGAGCUGUAAGAAUUGUUACCUGCUUGCAACAAAACAAAACAAAACACAAAACAUAAGAAACAAACACCUGCUGCAUUAGUAAAGCUUACUGAAAGUAUUAUUUGCCAUAUAUAUAUAUCUAUAUAUUGUAAUUUGUUAGCUGCUUUAGUGUGCAACAUUUUGUAAUGCAUUUGGGCCACAUUGAGCGCUGCUUCACUCUCUAAUUAAGAAAACAUAUCACAAAACCUUUGCAACUGCGCACUGCGUUUUAUAAACAAUUCAUAGCUGCUGCUUUACAGUUACUUCUCAUAGCUACAUAACUUAACUUGAAUUUCUUCAGCAGUUGACUAACUUUAUUUGAACCUUUCCGUCCAUUGAAUUAGCUUUGCAUUAUAACUCAUGCAUAUUCAACAACAACAACAAAUACGUAAAUAAUAGUUGCCAAGCAAACAGGGAAAAAUGCAUUCAAAAUGUUGCUACAAAACAAAACAAAGAGUGGAGUGGAGCGAUCGAGCGAGAGCAACAAAUAUUAAAAUUUAAAAAUAGUUACAAAUUAUAUACUAUCAGCGAGGUUUCCAGCAUUUUACGCAUGAUUAUACAAACCACACUCCAACCAUAUGCUAUAUACUAACUGUCUAGACAGUCUUGCCAUCACUUUUCUCUAAUACAAGCUCUAUUUUUCACAUUUCCAAAAGCUUUAACUUAUCAGCCAAUAACACAGUCAUUAUCAAAAAUCACAAACUCAGCAGCAGCAACAACAACAACAAAUUUAAUGUCGGCAUGCGUCGACUUUCAAAUGCUCUAACCAAAUAUCACUGUGAUAGGCCAGCAAAUAAAACUAAUAACUAGCUAAUACAAACAAUUUAUUAAAAAUUUAAUGCACUGGUCCGUUUAACAAACAUUCACUUUUGGCUUUAACAUUUCGAAUAUUUGCAAUGCAGGCGUAUACUUACUAUAAAUUGUGGUAGGAGCAUUUGUUUCACAUAGCAAAAUUUUCAAUUUAGAUUUUUCUUAUUAUAGUUACCGUAUGAAUUACAUUAGUAGUUGUAAGUUACACACAAAAUGGUGAAUUCACAUAUAAGAUUGCUAAAAGAAAACAAAAGAACAAAACUAAAACUCAACAUAUAUUAUGACAAGUUAUUUGACGAUGAAACAGCAAACCAAACAAAUAAUAAUGCUUAACACUAAGUUCAAACUGAUAUGAUACAAAUUGAAUUACAUACACAACACAGACGCAGCAGCAGCAGCAGCAACAGCAGCAAGACAAGCAUGUAUUUA